GAUGAACGCUGGCGGCGUGCCUAAUACAUGAAAGUCGAGCGAACGGACGAGAAGCUUGCUUCUCUGAUGUUAGCGGCGAACGGGUGAGUAACACGUGGAUAACCUACCUAUAAGACUGGGAUAACUUCGGGAAACCGUAGCUAAUACCGGAUAAUAUUUUGAACAGCAUGGUUCAAAAGUGAAAGACGGUCUUGCUGUCACUUAUAGAUGGAUCCGCGCUGCAUUAGCUAGUUGGUAAGGUAACGGCUUACCAAGGCAACGAUGCAUAGCCGACCUGAGAGGGUGAUCGGCCACACUGGAACUGAGACACGGUCCAGACUCCUACGGGAGGCAGCAGUAGGGAAUCUUCCGCAAUGGGCGAAAGCCUGACGGAGCAACGCCGCGUGAGUGAUGAAGGUCUUCGGAUCGUAAAACUCUGUUAUUAGGGAAGAACAUAUGUGUAAGUAACUGUGCACAUCUUGACGGUACCUAAUCAGAAAGCCACGGCUAACUACGUG
rnacentral:rRNA from 1 species